GGCCUGUCGUAGUCGAGAGAUAACAUGCGAAAGUCUUCUUCAGCUUCUCGUUCGGAUCCGUUCCGAAUAUCUGUCUGAAGAGAGACUCGAAACCUCCCUUUGUUAUCGCUUUCACCGUCAAGUUAGCCUUUCCCCACACCGUUUCCUCCAUAGACGGUCCCGUCUUCACUGCACAAACAAGAACCGUCAAAAAUUCAUCAACAUUGAUUUAAUUCAAUCAAUAAUCAAUAGAACAAAAACAAAAAAUGAUCUAGAAGGAGACUUACGAUUGUGCCAGAUGUUGCGAGCUACGGUUUCAGCCUUCCUGCUCCAAGUAUGGAACAUUCCGAUGACGGGCUCGAGAGGGUUGUUAGACGGAGGAUGCUCUACAGGAGAGUAGACGAUGUAAGGUUGGUACGGCAUCUGCCGGUUAUCACCAGCGACCCAA